CGAGUAAUUCUUAAAAUCAAAUUACGAAUCCCAAAAGGAAACUUAUUACAAACUAACUACAAUCUGUUUGCAAACUUUUCAAGUUCAAGUCACAUUAUCAAAGUUUAUUAUUGAAAAACAAAACAAAACUGACAUACAAAAACGUGAAAUCCUGACUAGACCAGACGUUUCGAGCAACAGAUGUUUGCCAUGUUCGCCACAAAGAUCCAACAGGGUAUCUGGCUUCUUUUUUCCUCGCCAAGCUGGUUAAGCAUUCAAGGAGAUGAAAACCUCAAGCCUACAAAUGGACUGGCAUAUCAAAGCCAUGGCCGUUCCAUACCCUGAUGACGAGAACAACUAUACUAUUGAUGGUGCUGAUGAUGCGGAUACUAUGCCGCCCAAAGCCUCCAAUGUUGCAUAUAAAAUGAUGAUAAUCACCAUCAUUAUGAUCAUCAUGAUGACAUUGCACAAAUAAGCGAGCAACCACUUCGUCUACUUGGCUGCUACAACUGUUUUAGGUUUUUAUCCAACACAGAGAAAAAAUACCUUAACUAACUUGGUGGCUGCGAUAUGUAUGUGCUCGUAUGUACCUAUGGAUAGUUUUUUCUUUUGCCUUCCCAAAGACAUGCUAUUGUGGAGCAACUGCAUUGUGUGGACGCGGAAUUUUGUGAUACCCACUGACUACUGGUAUUUAAUAGCCAUGAUUUGGAAAAUUAAAGGAAAAUGUAUGAUGUUGUGUCAUAAAGAUUACAAAAUGAACAUUUGAUAUGUUGAAAUGCUGCAAAGCAAAUGGAAACAGAAUGAGAGAAACGGACAUGACUACAUACCGAAAAACAUCUUGCAAACAGUAGGAAAAACAAAGAUUCAAGAAAUGUACAUGAUGUAUAAUGUUGCUGAAUAAAAACGAAGCAUUAAUUAACCCCCUUCGGCUAGAAAGAUCCGCUUGAAAAUUUUUUUACUCGGUUUAUUAGGUAAAAGAAAUGGUAGACUUGCACCACUUUCCAUAUAAGCAAAAUUCGAUGGCAAUCAGACAGAAGAUGCGACUUGUUCUUUGAUGCAAGAAUACAAAGACAGACAGACGGAAAUAAUAAUUCGUAUCAGGAUGCCAUUCUAUGUUGACCUGUAUACCAAGCAAUGGGUCUAGCAUUUCCCCUACUUAGUAUUGUAAACAUAUGCAUAUGCUGGGUGUAUCAAAGCAGUGGUG